UACGGAGGGGGCGAGCGUUAUUCGGAAUCAUUGGGCGUAAAGAGCGCGUAGGCGGCCCUGUAAGUCCGCUGUGAAAGUCAAGGGCUCAACCCUUGGAUGCCGGUGGAUACUGCAGGGCUAGAGUCCGGAAGAGGCGAGUGGAAUUCCUGGUGUAGCGGUGAAAUGCGCAGAUAUCAGGAGGAACACCGAUGGCGAAGGCAGCUCGCUGGGACGGUGACUGACGCUGAGGCGCGAAAGCGUGGGGAGCAAACAGG
rnacentral:rRNA from 1 species